rnacentral:rRNA from 1 species
GAUGAACGCUGGCGGCGUGCUUAACACAUGCAAGUCGAACGGAAAGGCUCCUGCUUGCAGGGGUACUCGAGUGGCGAACGGGUGAGUAACACGUGGGUGAUCUGCCCUGCACUUCGGGAUAAGCCUGGGAAACUGGGUCUAAUACCGGAUAGGACGAUGGUUUGGAUGCCAUUGUGGAAAGUUUUUUCGGUGUGGGAUGAGCUCGCGGCCUAUCAGCUUGUUGGUGGGGUAAUGGCCUACCAAGGCGUCGACGGGUAGCCGGCCUGAGAGGGUGUACGGCCACAUUGGGACUGAGAUACGGCCCAGACUCCUACGGGAGGCAGCAGUGGGGAAUAUUGCACAAUGGGCGCAAGCCUGAUGCAGCGACGCCGCGUGGGGGAUGACGGCCUUCGGGUUGUAAACUCCUUUCGCUAGGGACGAAGCGCAAGGGACGGUACCUGGAGAAGAAGCACCGGCUAACUACGU